GGAAACUCUAAGAGGAAUGAAAUCCAAGCUACGAACUGGAAUGGAAGGUUAUCCAGAUCCACUAGCCACUUCUGUUGGUCCGUCCUUUACAGCAAGAAAGAGAUCAUCGAACGAAGCGGAGAAUGAUCACAAUUAGGGCGAUCCAAAGCCAUUGCUUGAAGCGAUUUACUUGACCUUCCCUCUCGACAGGGCUAGAGGAAUUCAUUAUCUCGUACUUGAACUGCUGUAGACAAGAAGUGAAAGCCUGCGGUAAAAGCGUAGCGAAACGAACCACUCUUUCCUAACCUAUCUCUUUAUUUAAUUUCCUCAUCGCUCCGCGCCUUUCAACUUUAUUGUUAGCUUGUACAUACCUACGACUGACUAAGCUAGCUUUCAUUCUGAUUCCUGGCUUUUCACUUCAAUUCUGAUACCGUGCUUUUCAACUGAUAGGUGAUACCGUGGAUACGAUAGGUCACUCGAAAUCUUAACUUCUUGUAGGUGAGUCGCAACCUUAUAUCUCUCUGUAGGCAAGUCAACAC
rnacentral:lncRNA from 1 species